GAUGAACGCUGGCGGCGUGCCUAAUACAUGCAAGUCGAGCGAACGGACGAGAAGCUUGCUUCUCUGAUGUUAGCGGCGGACGGGUGAGUAACACGUGGAUAACCUACCUAUAAGACUGGGAUAACUUCGGGAAACCGGAGCUAAUACCGGAUAAUAUUUUGAACCGCAUGGUUCAAAAGUGAAAGGCGGUCUUGCUGUCACUUAUAGAUGGAUCCGCGCUGCAUUAGCUAGUUGGUAAGGUAACGGCUUACCAAGGCAACGAUGCAUAGCCGACCUGAGAGGGUGAUCGGCCACACUGGAACUGAGACACGGUCCAGACUCCUACGGGAGGCAGCAGUAGGGAAUCUUCCGCAAUGGGCGAAAGCCUGACGGAGCAACGCCGCGUGAGUGAUGAAGGUCUUCGGAUCGUAAAGCUCUGUUAUUAGGGAAGAACAUAUGUGUAAGUAACUGUGCACAUCUUGACGGUACCUAAUCAGAAAGCCACGGCUAACUACGUG
rnacentral:rRNA from 1 species